rfam:Firmicutes bacterium CAG:102 genomic scaffold, scf68
GUGAUUCUUCGGGGCAGGGUGCAAUUCCCUACCGGCGGUAAAAGUCCGCGACCCUCCAGUAUCUUAAAGCGCGAAGUGCCGAAAGAUACAAAAGGCUGAUAUGGUGCAAUUCCAUGACCGACGGUAACAGUCCGGAUGAGAGAAGAAACUU